ACUCCUACGGGAGGCAGCAGUGGGGAAUAUUGGACAAUGGGCGGAAGCCUGAUCCAGCAACGCCGCGUGAGGGAUGACGGCCUUCGGGUUGUAAACCUCUUUCAGUGCAGACGAAGCGCAAGUGACGGUAUGCACAGAAGAAGGACCGGCCAACUACGUGCCAGCAGCCGCGGUAAUACGUAGGGUCCGAGCGUUGUCCGGAAUUAUUGGGCGUAAAGGGCUCGUAGGCGGUCUGUUGCGUCGGGAGUGAAAACCCAGGGCUUAACCCUGGGCCUGCUUUCGAUACGGGCAGACUAGAGGCAUUCAGGGGAGAACGGAAUUCCUGGUGUAGCGGUGAAAUGCGCAGAUAUCAGGAGGAACACCGGUGGCGAAGGCGGUUCUCUGGGAAUGUUCUGACGCUGAGGAGCGAAAGUGUGGGGAGCGAACAGGAUUAGAUACCCUGGUAGUCCACACCGUAAACGUUGGGCGCUAGGUGUGGGGCCUAUUCCAUGGGUUCCGUGCCGCAGCUAACGCAUUAAGCGCCCCGCCUGGGGAGUACGGCCGCAAGGCUAAAACUCAAAGGAAUUGACGG
rnacentral:rRNA from 4 species